rnacentral:rRNA from 1 species
AUUGAACGCUGGCGGAAUGCUUUACACAUGCAAGUCGAACGGCAGCACGGACUUCGGUCUGGUGGCGAGUGGCGAACGGGUGAGUAAUGUAUCGGAACGUGCCCAGUCGUGGGGGAUAACGUAGUGAAAAUUACGCUAAUACCGCAUACGAUCUAUGGAUGAAAGCGGGGGAUCGCAAGACCUUGCGCGAUUGGAUCGGCCGAUAUCAGAUUAGGUAGUUGGUGGGGUAAAGGCCCACCAAGCCAACCAUCUGUAGCUGGUCUGAGAGGACGACCAGCCACACUGGAACUGAGACACGGUCCAGACUCCUACGGGAGGCAGCAGUGGGGAAUUUUGGACAAUGGGCGAAAGCCUGAUCCAGCCAUUCCGCGUGCAGGAUGAAGGCCCUCGGGUUGUAAACUGCUUUUGUACAGAACGAAAAGGUUUCUACUAAUACUAGGAGCUCAUGACGGUACUGUAAGAAUAAGCACCGGCUAACUACGUGCCAGCCGCCGCAGUAA